GUAUCGGAUUAUGGCAACGAUACGGAAAAGAAGCGAAGUUAUACGCAUAAAGAAUUAUAAUUAUUAUAAUAAUAAUGAGU
rnacentral:rRNA from 1 species